rnacentral:rRNA from 1 species
AUAACGACUCUCGGCAACGGAUAUCUCGGCUCUCGCAUCGAUGAAGAACGUAGCGAAAUGCGAUACUUGGUGUGAAUUGCAGAAUCCCGUGAACCAUCGAGUCUUUGAACGCAAGUUGCGCCCAAAGCCAUCAGGCUGAGGGUACGUCUGUCUGGGCGUCACGC